rnacentral:rRNA from 1 species
AUUGAACGCUGGCGGCGUGCCUAAUACAUGCAAGUAGGACGCAGUUGCGAACGGGUGAGUAACGCGUAGGUAACUACCUAUUAGAGGGGGAUAACUAUUGGAAACGAUAGCUAAUACCGCAUACUAGUAGAUGGACCUGCGUUGUAUUAGCUAGUAGGUAGGGUAAAGGCCUACCUAGGCAACGAUACAUAGCCGAACUGGGAGGGGGAGCGGAAAAACUGGGACCGAGACACGGCCCAGACUCCUAAGGGAGGCAGCAGGAGGGAAUCGUCGGCAAUGGGGGGAACCCUGACCGAGCAACGCCGAGUGAGUGAAGAAGGGGUUCGGAUCGUAAAGCUCUGUUGUUAAGGAAGCGGUACUUAACCAGAAAGGGACGGCUAACUACGUGCCAGCCGCCGCGGUAAUAC